CUGCGGAACAAGUUAAAAAUGGUUUGUCAAGGAUUCUUGUUCAUCAUCAUCCACUUGCUGGGCGACUAACCAUCAGCUCCGAAGGGAAGCUCAUAGUGGACUGCACCGGCGAGGGGGCUGUUUUUGUGGAGGCUGAAGCUAAUUGUGGGAUUGAAGAGAUGGGGGACAUAACAAAGCCUGACCCUAACACUCUUGGAAAGUUGGUUUAUGAAAUUUCUGGUGCUCAGAACUUGCUAGAGAUACCUCUUUUGGUGAUUCAGGUUUGGGGAUUGCUUUACUCUUUAGUUUCUGGUCUAUCUUGCAUAUGUCAAAGUGGAACUUUUGGCAAGUAAAACUUGUUAACCUUAGUGUUACUGCUGUGUGCUAUGCUUAGUCUCUUUCGAAAGACCUUUACAUAUUUACCUUACUCUUCAUUUUUCCUAAAAUAUCUGCCUCAGGAAUUAAGGUACAAUCUUUGAGUUUAUGAUCAAAUUUAUAAAAACUUUAACAUACACGUUACUCCGUGUCCAAUAUCCAUAUUCAGCACAUACUUGAACAUAGGCAAAGGAUAAAUGGAAAAUCUAGGGAAUUGAAUAUACAUGUGAUAUAUAAUAUAUAUCUUAUACCUGAAUUUGAAGGUGAAAAUAUUACGGAGGUUUUUAUACUAAGUGUCGAUUGUAUUUUGUCCUUUUUCACUUAAAAAUGUGUAAAUUAAUCAUUAUAUAUUAAAUAAAAAAGUAAACAUAUCCUUUUGUUAAAAAAUCUAUCUAUUUUUACUAUUAAAAAUCGAUCUUUAUACAUUAACAUAAAAUACACGUGGCAUGUCACAUGUUAUUGUUUGAUUAUUUUGUUAGUUACGUCAAUUUUUAACAAUACAAAGAGCAUAUGAUGAAAUAACCUUUAUGUGCUUUCAGUUUUAUCAUUUUAAGAAAAGUAAGAGGUAAGAAACUUGACUCCAGGUGACUAAAUUUAAGUGUGGAGGAUUUUCUAUUGGGAUGAGCAUGAACCACUGUAUGCUUGAUGGGAUUGCUGCUAUGGAAUUUGUGACUGGAUGGGGUGAAGUUACCAGAGGCUUGCCAUUAAAGACCCCUCCAUUUUUAGACAGAACCAUACUGAAACCCCGAAACCCACCUAUGAUAGAGUUCGAGCACCAUGAAUUUGAUGAGAUUGAAGAUAUAUCAAACACAAACAAGUUGUAUGAAGAAGAAGAAAUGGUUUACAAGACCUUCCUGUUUGAUCCAGAUAAGCUUGGACAACUCAAGGAACAAGCCCUUGAAGAUGGGGUUUUAUCCAAAUGCACCACAUUCGAAGUCCUUGCAGGGUUUGUGUGGAGAGCUCGAUGCAAAGCAUUAAACUUGGUUCCUCAGCAAAAAACUAAGCUCCUCUUUGCUGCUGAUGGGAGAAAAAGAUUCAUACCACCAUUACCUGAAGGUUUUGCAGGUAAUGGGAUUGUUUUAACAUAUUCAAUCUCCACUGCCGGUGAGUUAGCUGAGAAGCCAUUAUCAUUUGCUGUGGGAUUGAUCCAACAGGCGGUCAAAUUGGCGACAGACAGUUUUAUGCGAUCAGCCAUUGAUUAUUUUGAAGUGACAAGAGCUAGGCCAUCUUUGGAUGGAACUGUUCUUAUUACAGCUUGGUCUAAACUAUCUUUUUACACCAUAGAUUUUGGUUGGGGAGAACCCAUUUCAACAGGGCCUGUUGCUUUGCCUGAAAAGCCAGUUCUGAUUUUCCUUCCUCAUCAGAAAGAUAAGAAAAGCAUUAAUUUACUGUUGGGGUUGCCUGUUUCAGCAAUGAAUAGCUUUGAAGAACUGAUGCAGGUUUAAGCAGAAGAAAAAAAAAGACAUGUUUUAUACCAAGUUAUUUUAUGUCAGAUACUCAGAUUCAUAUGUUGCAUGCAUUCAUUAUCUGAGGAUUUUCUGACAGUGGG
rnacentral:lncRNA from 1 species